rnacentral:ncRNA from 2 species
CGUACAUGGUGGACUUCCGGUUGCCCAACGGCGGCUGGAGAGGAAGCCGGUGAGAAUCCGGCGCGGUCCCGCCACUGUCACCGGGGAGCGAACCCCAAGCGAAGGUCACGGCCCACGAGCGUCAAGGGGCCGGAAGGCCGGGGGACGCUGCGAUCCGGGAGCCAGGAGACUCUCGCCGCCGGUACGUCGAGCCA